CAAUAGCGUAUAUUAAAGUUGUUGCAGUUAAAAAGCUCGUAGUUGAAUUUCGGGUCCCCGCGCUCGGCGCUUCAUUGUGCCGUCGUGGUGUCGCUCCUCGCCGUAAGGCGUCCUUUACUGUGAAAAAAUUAGAGUGUUCAAAGCAGGCAAUCGCUUGAAUACAUUAGCAUGGAAUAAUAAGAUAGGAUCUUGUCUAUUUUGUUGGUUGCGGACAACGAUAAUGAUUAAUAGGGAUAGUUGGGGGUGUCCGUAUUGAGCUGUCAGAGGUGAAAUUCUUGGAUUUGCUCAAGACGAACUACUGCGAAAGCAUUCACCAAGGAUGUUUUCAUUAA
rnacentral:rRNA from 1 species